rnacentral:lncRNA from 1 species
UUUUCUUUGUCAGCUGGACUUCUUCCUCUCUUCCUUUGAGUACCAGCUGAAGGCUGAGCUUGACCGGUGGCGGAAGUGCCAUCUCUACCAGAAGCUGAGGUGGUUCCGGUGGCUUCUCCGCCCAUCUCCGGCACUCUUCUGAUCUCAUCAUCACUCUCCAUACCUUCACAAAACACUAAACAACCUCAAAAAAAAAAAAAAAAAAUUUACUAAAAUUCUUUCAUCCCCAAAAAAUGAGUAUGGAAGCCCAUAACAGUGACACGUCAAGUGGGUUCAGAAAUGACAAGUCGACAUACCUACGUGGCAUGACAUUAUUGGUCAAAAGGAUUAAAAAGAACCAUUUUUUUAGUUUUUACCUUUUUAGCCUCUUGUUUUCUUUGUCAGCUGGACUUCUUCCUCUCUUCCUUUGAGUACCAGCUGAAGGCUGAGCUUGACCGGUGGCGGAAGUGCCAUCUCUACCAGAAGCUGAGGUGGUUCCGGUGGCUUCUCCGCCCAUCUCCGGCACUCUUCUGAUCUCAUCAUCACUCUCCAUACCUUCACAAAACACUAAACAACCUCAAAAAAAAAAAAAAAAAUUUACUAACAUUCUUUCAUCCCCAAGAACCUAACUUCCUCAAAAUCUCGACCUUACCAAUACCCACAAUCCAAAAUCACACAGUCUUCUAAAACCACCAUAAAAACUCCAAAAUUGACUUUAAAAGCUGAGUUUUUCUUUCCAAAAGUAUAACAUCAUAAGUGCAAGUUCAACACUUCAAAAUUUGAGUUGGAUGAGUAAAUGGGAAAAAAGGAACUUUCUUUGACUUCAGAAACUUCACUUCAACAUUAUUCCUAUCCAAAAUUUAAUACCUUUAUUCCUUUCUCGAAAAUAAAUGACAGCCAAUGUCCAAAAUCACACAUUUCUCGCAAAAACCCACCUCAGGACCUCCAAAUUUUAAUACCUUUAUCAGCAAGAAAUUUCAAAAACAGGCUAAAGAUUAAAUUUUCAUUUUGAAAAAAGGAAAAUAAGAGAGGAAGAAUAACC